rnacentral:lncRNA from 1 species
GGGGGGCUGGAGGGUACAAAAGGAGGGAGCUGGCUUUCCCAGCGCAGAGACAGAGAAGCAGGAGCAGAGGAGGAAGGAGCAGGGAGAGGUCUGAGGGGAGAUCUGAAGGGAGGUCCCGUCGGGGCAGGACGAAGGGAGAGGUAACGCUAGGAAAGAUGACAACUCGAAAGGGAGGCAGGGCAAAUGAAGCAGCCGGACACACAGAGAGAGAAAAGACAGAGGAUCCGCUUAGGGGAUGCACAUAAAGGAAAGACAACGAUGGUUUCUCUGCGUGUGACUACGAAGAUGGGAUGAAGAAGAUACCAGUGAAAAGAAAAGGAGUAAACAAGAAAAGAGAAUGAGUAAGGAGACCAAAUAAGGACUGAGUGCCCAAGGACAGGUCAAGUGCUUAGAAAAUCACCCAGCUGGUUAGGCUGGGCUGGGAGAAGGGCCAUAGCCGGACCCGAAAGGGGACCAUCAGAAAGACAGAGGCAGGCCAUUGAAGUAGCCAGUGACGGAGGUAAAAAUGAAAAAAAAAAAAAAAAAAAAAAAAAAAAAGAAAGAAAAAUCCAUGCUCUAAACACCUUAAUGGGGAUGAGGCUGCCAGGGAAGAAGGCACGGAGAGAAGGGACCCGCCGGCAACUUUUCCCCAGGCUUGGACCAGCGAUGCUUGGGCGGUACCCAGGAAUCCUCAC